UACGUAGGGGGCAAGCGUUAUCCGGAUUUACUGGGUGUAAAGGGAGCGUAGACGGCGAUGCAAGCCUGAAGUGAAAGGCGGGGGCCCAACCCCCGGACUGCUCUGGAAACUGUAUAGCUGGAGUGCAGGAGAGGUAAGUGGAAUUCCUAGUGUAGCGGUGAAAUGCGUAGAUAUUAGGAGGAACACCAGUGGCGAAGGCGGCUUACUGGACUGUAACUGACGUUGAGGCUCGAAAGCGUGGGGAGCAAACAGG
rnacentral:rRNA from 1 species